UACGUAUGGAGCAAGCGUUAUCCGGAUUUACUGGGUGUAAAGGGAGCGCAGGCGGCUUUGCAAGUCUGAUGUGAAAGGCCGGGGCUCAACCCCGGGACUGCAUUGGAAACUGUAAAGCUAGAGUGCCGGAGAGGUAAGCGGAGUUCCUAGUGUAGCGGUGAAAUGCGUAGAUAUUAGGAGGAACACCAGUGGCGAAGGCGGCUUACUGGACGGCAACUGACGCUGAGGCUCGAAAGCGUGGGGAGCAAACAGG
rnacentral:rRNA from 1 species